rnacentral:rRNA from 1 species
AUUGAACGCUGGCGGCAGGCCUAACACAUGCAAGUCGAGCGGAUGAAGGGAGCUUGCUCCUGGAUUCAGCGGCGGACGGGUGAGUAAUGCCUAGGAAUCUGCCCGGUAGUGGGGGAUAACGUCCGGAAACGGGCGCUAAUACCGCAUACGUCCUGAGGGAGAAAGUGGGGGAUCUUCGGACCUCACGCUAUCAGAUGAGCCUAGGUCGGAUUAGCUAGUUGGUGGGGUAAAGGCCUACCAAGGCGACGAUCCGUAACUGGUCUGAGAGGAUGAUCAGUCACACUGGAACUGAGACACGGUCCAGACUCCUACGGGAGGCAGCAGUGGGGAAUGUUGGACAAUGGGCGAAAGCCUGAUCCAGCCAUGCCGCGUGUGUGAAGAAGGUCUUCGGAUUGUAAAGCACUUUAAGUUGGGAGGAAGGGCAGUAAGUUAAUACCUUGCUGUUUUGACGUUACCAACAGAAUAAGCACCGGCUAACUUCGUG